AGUUGUGCAGGGUCCUUCCGGCCGCGGGCUUUGGGCUUGGCUUUGAAGAGAAGCCGGGGCCUUGGAUUUUGUGUGCUGUGUUAUGAAUGCUGCAGGGAGCUGAGCAGGGAACAUGGAUGAGCUGGAAAGCCAUGACAUGAAUUCAGUGACCUAUGAUGAUGUGCAUGUUGACUUCACUAAGGAAGAGUGGGCUUUGCUGAAUCCUUCCCAGAAGUAUCUCUACAAAGAUGUGAUGCUGGAGACUUACAGGAACCUCACUAUUAUAGGAUACAUUUGGGAAGACCAUAAUAUUGAAGAACAUUGUCAAAGUUCUAGAAGAUAUGGAAGGCAUGAAAGAAGCCAAAGUGGAGAGAAACCUUCUGUAUAUACUCAAUGUGCCUUUGCAUACGAUAGUCAGCUUCAAAGUAAUGAAAGAAUGUAUACUGGAGAGAAACCCCAUGAAUGUAAUCAGUGUGGUAAAGUCUUUGCACAGCACAGUCAUCUUCGAAGACAUCAAAGAAUACAUACUGGAGAGAAACCCCAUGAAUGUAAUCAGUGUGGUAAAGCCUUUGCACAGCAUAGUCAUCUUCAAAGGCAUCAAAGAACACAUACUGGAGAGAAACCCUAUGAAUGUAAUCAAUGUGGUAAAGCCUUUGCACGUCUUAGUACUCUUCAAGUGCAUAAAAGAACACAUACUGGAGAGAAACCCUAUGAAUGCAAUCAGUGUGGUAAAGCCUUUGCUUACCACAAUACUCUUCAAAUGCAUGAAAGAACAUAUACUGGAGAUAAACCCUAUGAAUGUGAUCAGUGUGGUAAAGCCUUUGCAUGUCAGAGUUAUCUUCGAAAGCAUAAAGGAACACACACUGGAGAGAAACCCUAUGAAUGUAGUCAAUGUGGUAAAGUCUUUGCACAACAGAGUAGUCUUCAAAUGCAUAAAAGAGCACAUACUGGAGAGAAACCCUAUGAAUGUAAUCAGUGUGGUAAAGCCUUUGCACAGCACAGUCAUCUUCAAAUGCAUAAAAGAACACAUACUGGAGAGAAACCCUAUGAAUGUAAUCAGUGUGGUAAAGCCUUUGCACAAUAUAGUAAUCUUCAAGUGCAUACAAGAACACAUACUGGAGAGAAACCCUAUGAAUGUAAUCAGUGUGGUAAAGCCUUUGCACAUCACACUCAUCUUCAAGUGCAUACAAAAACACAUACUGGAGAGAAACCCUAUGAAUGUAAUCAAUGUGGUAAAGUCUUUGCACGUCACAGUAAUCUUCAAAUGCAUAAAAGAGCACAUACUGGAGAGAAACCCUAUGAAUGUGAUCAGUGUGGUAAAGCCUUUGCACGUCACGGUACUCUUCAAAUACAUAAAAGAACACACACUGGAGAGAAACCCUAUGAAUGUAACCAAUGUGGUAAAGCCUUUGCACGUAAGAGUAAUCUUUUAAAGCAUAAAAGAACACAUACUAGAGAGAAACCCUAUGAAUGUAAUCAGUACGAUCCCUUCACAGCUGUAGCUAUAGCCUGACCUCUGAGCCAGGGUACAUUUUUCUCCAAAGCUGUAACACUUGCACUAUGAAAUGUUAGACCCUUGAAUCUUGUAGCAGGAAUUACAGAAAGUUUUCAAAAAUCUUACCUUGAUCCUGGGAAUGAACAUUUCUUAACUACCCAGCCAUGUGUCUAGUGCUUUAAAUAUUUUGAAGCCUAUUUAUAUCAUUUUGAAGUCAGGAAAUGGGAACAAACUCACACAAGAGAAAAACCUUAUUUAUAUAAAUGAUUUGGUAAAGACUUUAGACAUCACAGUUGUCUUCAUCUUCAAGAAAAAAAAUCACAUUUCAUUUAUUUUUCAUCAUAGCCUUGAAGGAAGUAAAUUGCUUACCAUGUUCACUGAAGACUGAUGGUGGAAAUCACUUCAUUGUGGUUUCUAUUUUGAAACAUCUGAGGUAGAUACUAAAGUGUGCUUAUAUGUGUGGCAAAUCCAUUUAAUUUAAGUUUAUUUUGUGGUCCUUAUAUUCCUUCUGUGGCUUUUGUUCAUCUUCUAUUGUGCUUUUACUUAGUGAUAGGAAUUUUUCUGCUGUAAUGUUUAGAUUGGUAUGCCCAUCAUCUAAGUGGUCCAUUGUUUAUUUAAAUAUCAGGCAGUGUGUGAUCAUACAUUUCAAGUAAGGAUGUCUGUAAAAGGAUGGUGGGUUGUUUCUAGUUUUGUUUUUAUAUUUUCACAAAUUCCCUUGAGAUUUUGUUGUUUGUUAUUCAACCUUUCUUGUGUGUCAGUAUUGAUUCAGGUAUACAUUUGAACUCAUGAUCCUUAUGUGUCUGCCUUUUGAGUACAAGUCUGAGGGUAUAUGAUGUACUCCUAAUGUGUGCUGUUUUGUCAACACAGUUUAACAAUGUUAAUGUUAAAAUGCUUAAUAGAAGAGAAUAUAAGAAACAUUAAAUGCUUCAUUAAUGAAAACUAUUAGGGUCCAGCCUCUAAUAUUCUCCUUCCCAAGGUCUCCAGAAGAGGCGCUACCAAUGUCAAGAAUAAUCUGAAGUGAAGGAAUCUAAUACACCAAGCUCUUUCAUUCAUCCACUUUAUUCCUCUGUAACAAAGUUCUGCCAUUCCUCUCAGGUCACCAGUCUACAAACUCACCAGCAGCCACUCUUUUACAAUACAGUGCAAAAUCUUUCAAGGUCCCCACAAGAACAGUGAGAGUCAGCUUCAUUUGCAACCCAAAAGAGGAGUGAAUAAAGGAGAAGUGGGGUCAGAUAAGGCCUAAAGCAACCCCUCCAAAGGGUCAUUUGACCCCAAAGGAGUCAAGACCCACAAGUUGAGAACUAUGCACUGGACCUUGGCAUUGGGGUCAGGAUGACUGACACAGAAAAUGACUUCUGGUCAAUGUAAGGACAAAGAGGAAUCUAGUUGGAACAUCCUUGGCCAGUAGAGAGGUGAAUGGCCAUCUAUGAGGUAUUGAUCUCCUGAAUUUGAGCUGUUAUAUGAAAUGAGACACACAAUGGGUUUGUGAAACCAGGACAAAUAAUAUAAAAUGUCUCAUUUGUAAGCUUUUAUGCUGACUGAUGUUGAAAUGACAUUUUGGAUCUGUUAUAUUAAAUAAAAUACACUGGAUAUUCUA